rnacentral:siRNA from 1 species
UUAAAUUUCAUGCUUUUAUAC